CUAGACUCCAGAUCAGAUUGUCUGGGAGUGCAGCAGGGGGAAUAGGGGCAAAUCGCAGGGCCACUGGACCCACGGAGCACGAUGAGCCCUUGCUGAUACCGGAAAACAUCAGCUCAUGAUAUUUAUGACUGUUAUGAGGAUGAGACUGAGGACCGCCCCACCCCACACCCAAUUAACAUGAGGACUGAGUUCAGUAAACAAAGAAAAUUCCUGGUCAGUCUCCUCUGACAGCCUCGGAGGACACAAUCUCAGGUCCUAGCAAUCUGAAAUGCUGUACAAAUAAAUAAAUUCUUCAUAAUACUAUAGAAAGAGAUCUGAGCCAAAAUAUCAUACACACCCCUUAUA